AAUAAAGCUGCAAGAAUACAGGUGUCAGACUGAAACAUCAGUAUGUCUGCUGAAACUCUUUGGUAGAAAGGGGCAGAAAUUCAAGUGUGACAGAGGAAUAAUGUGAGCCCAGUCUGAACUCAUUAAGAAAGGAUUUGAAUAGAAUAAAUUUCAAAGGAAGAACCGUUCCAGAGAGUAGAGGAGGAAUCUAGAAAUAACUAACAGUGUGUUGGAGAGAGAGGUACAAUGGCCUCCUUUCUGAGCCAAUGGUGACAUUUCUGAGCUCCAGGCCCUGCUAGGAGAGGAGAGGAGAGAAAAGAAGAGGCAUCUGAAGAGGAGAAAGUUGGAGGCCCAAGAGAGGACCAGAUAAAGGACCAAAAUAAAGGAAGCAAUGAGAGGAGCACAACAUGGGGGAACUGAUCUAAAGCUAUCAAGCAGGCUCUGCAAGUGUUUGCUGGGGCUCAUGCAUAUUGCAAAAGGGCUAUUUCUUGAAACACCUUUCCUUCUGGCUCCCUCCACCAGCCCCUGGAUCUGGUCUCACCUGGCCCAGCCUGUUCCUACCUUUAAAGGGAGGUGAGAAAUCUAUCCCAUCUGCCUCUGCUAGGGAAGGACAGAAACCCCAUUUAAUUGUCUCCCUUCAUCCAAGACUGUGGGUGUGGGCACCUUCACCCCUUUGGAGCUAGGAGUUGCUGGCUGACACCCAGACAGGACUCUCUGCUUUGAAAGGUCAAACCCCUGGGGCUGUUGAUACUUCCCUGGACUCAUUCCUCUGUACUAAACUCCCAUUCUCCCAGGCCCUUCCCAUCUCAAUUCUGAACCCUCCCUGCCAUUAAUCAGUCCCAUUCUCCAAUUCCCACUGCCUCCUCCCCCAGCCCGCUGUCUGACACUGCCCUCUCCUUCCACUGUAGACCUGCCCAUGAGGCACCAGGGCUUGAUUGAAGGCUCUCUAACUCCAUUUCCUAGCUCUUAUCGAGACCGAGCUCUCCUUCCUAAUUCUAUUGCCUCUUUGGCCACCUUUCCCAGAACUGGUUUGAUCAUAACUUCAUCUCCUCAGUCACUAGUUGAGGGAGAGAGUUGGAGAACCUCCGGCUCCCAGACGCCAUUUCCAAGCUCUCAUUCUACUUCUUUUACUGCUCCUCUGAGAGUUGCUCAACCCCUCUGUAUUAACCAGCCAAAAUUCUGGUUCUGGUAUCUCCUGAUCUCAAUGAAUAUAAUUUCCUCAAGUACACAUUCUGUCAGCUUACCAAUGCCCAUGUUGAAACUAUUUUAGAAAUAUUAUGCAACAUUUUAUAUUGCUUAAAAAGUCAAGCCAUGCGAAAAAGAUAAAUUUACCACAAUGAUUGUCCAAAAACAGUCAUUUUAGGAAUUUUACAAAAAGUUAAAACCCGACAAUAUAUGAAUAAUAAAUACAAGACAUGAUAAUAAA